CAGCCGCCGCGGGAAUACGAAGGGGGCUAGCGUUGCUCGGAAUGACUGGGCGUAAAGGGCGCGUAGGCGGAUUGCGCAGUCAGAUGUGAAAUUCCUGGGCUUAACCUGGGGGCUGCAUUUGAGACGCGUAGUCUAGAGUGUGAAAGAGGGUCGUGGAAUUCCCAGUGUAGAGGUGAAAUUCGUAGAUAUUGGGAAGAACACCGGUGGCGAAGGCGGCGACCUGGUUCAUAACUGACGCUGAGGCGCGAAGGCGUGGGGAGCAAACAGGAUUAGAUACCCGCGUAGUCCCUGUCUCUUAUAC
rnacentral:rRNA from 1 species